rnacentral:rRNA from 1 species
CCUACGGGUGGCAGCAGUGAGGAAUAUUGGUCAAUGGUCGCGAGACUGAACCAGCCAAGUAGCGUGAGGGAUGAAUGUACUACGGGUUGUAAACCUCUUUUAUCAGGGAACAAAGUCAGGCACGCGUGCCCUGAUGUGUGUACCUUAUGAAUAAGCAUCGGCUAACUCCGUGCCAGCAGCCGUGGUAAUACGGAGGAUACGAGCGUUAUCCGGAUUUAUUGGGUUUAAAGGGAGCGUAGAUGGGUUGUUAAAGCAGUGGGGAAAGUUUGGGGCUCAACCCUAACACGGCAGUUGAAACUGGCAGUCUCGAGUUGGAUAGAAGUAUGCGGAAUGCGAGGUGUAGCGGUGAAAUGCAUAGAUAUCGCGAAGAACUCCGAUUGCGAAGGCAGCAUGC